UCAAUAUUCGGACCGUUGGUCUACCGAGCAAUAUCACCCGAUCGGUGGAAAACCUUCCCUUUCUCGU
rnacentral:pre_miRNA from 1 species